AUACGAAGGGGGCUAGCGUUGCUCGGAAUCACUGGGCGUAAAGCGCACGUAGGCGGCUUUUUAAGUCAGGGGUGAAAUCCUGGAGCUCAACUCCAGAACUGCCUUUGAUACUGAGAAGCUUGAGUCCGGGAGAGGUGAGUGGAACUGCGAGUGUAGAGGUGAAAUUCGUAGAUAUUGGGAAGAACACCAGUGGCGAAGGCGGCUCACUGGCCCGUAACUGACGCUGAGGUGCGAAAGCGUGGGGAGCGAACUG
rnacentral:rRNA from 1 species